ensembl:lncRNA
CUCCUGAACACUACUGGACAGGUACGCGCUGUGCAGCACGUGAAACACUGGUAAGCUUUAGAUUUUGUAUUAAUAUUGUUUCUUCUUUUAAGACCAGUGUUCUGUGGCUGCAGGGCAGAGUCUGCUGACGGUGUCUCUGCUUAUCGGCGGCGUCAUGCCCGUGUAGGGUCGGACAGCCGAGGGUUGGGUCCUUGUGGCAGCAGGCUAAGCUGGUCAUUCCCGAUGUCUCUCUCCCCAGCAACGCUUUCCACGUCCUCCUGAGGUUUUCCAUGGUAUUCUCACGCCAGAUGAGACAUGUAAUCUCCGC